rnacentral:rRNA from 1 species
GCGUUAAGUCGACCGCCUGGGGAGCACGGACGCAAGGUUAAAACUCAAAUGAAUUGACGGGGGCCCGCACAAGCGGUGGAGCAUGUGGUUUAAUUCGAUGCAACGCGAAGAACCUUACCUACUCUUGAAAUCCAGAGAACUUUCCAGAGAUGGAUUGGUGCCUUCGGGAACUCUGAGACAGGUGCUGCAUGGCUGUCGUCAGCUCGUGUUGUGAAAUGUUGGGUUAAGUCCCGCAACGAGCGCAACCCUUAUCCUUUGUUGCCAGCGGUUAGGCCGGGAACUCAAAGGAGACUGCCAGUGAUAAACUGGAGGAAGGUGGGGAUGACGUCAAGUCAUCAUGGCCCUUACGAGUAGGGCUACACACGUGCUACAAUGGCGCAUACAAAGAGAAGCGACCUCGCGAGAGCAAGCGGACCUCAUAAAGUGCGUCGUAGUCCGGAUUGGAGUCUGCAACUCGACUCCAUGAAGUCGGAAUCGCUAGUAAUCGUAGAUCAGAAUGCUACGGUGAAUACGUUCCCGGGCCUUGUACACACCGCCCGUCACACCAUGGGAGUGGGUUGCAAAAGAAGUAGGUAGCUUAACCUUCGGGAGGGCGCUUACCACUUUGUGAUUCAUGACUGGGGUGAAGU